rnacentral:misc_RNA from 1 species
UCGAGCGUCAUUACAACCCUCAAGCUCAGCUUGGUGUUGGGCUCGCCCCUAGUGGGCCUGCCUUAAAAUCAGUGGCGGCUCCGACCAGUCUCAAGCGCAGUAAUACUCGUCGCUUGUUAGAUCUGGGCGGCAGUCUGCCAAAAAACCCCCAAUUUUACAAGGUUGACCUCGGAUCAGGUAGGGAUACCCGCUGAACUUAA